rnacentral:rRNA from 1 species
CCUACGGGUGGCUGCAGUGGGGAAUAUUGCACAAUGGGCGCAAGCCUGAUGCAGCCAUGCCGCGUGUGUGAAGAAGGCCUUCGGGUUGUAAAGCACUUUCAGCGGGGAGGAAGGCGUUAAGGUUAAUAACCUUGGCGAUUGACGUUACCCGCAGAAGAAGCACCGGCUAACUCCGUGCCAGCAGCCGCGGUAAUACGGAGGGUGCAAACGUUAAUCGGAAUUACUGGGCGUAAAGCGCACGCAGGCGGUCUGUCAAGUCGGAUGUGAAAUCCCCGGGCUCAACCUGGGAACUGCAUUCGAAACUGGCAGGCUAGAGUCUUGUAGAGGGGGGUAGAAUUCCAGGUGUAGCGGUGAAAUGCGUAGAGAUCUGGAGGAAUACCGGUGGCGAAGGCGGCCCCCUGGACAAAGACUGACGCUCAGGUGCGAAAGCGUGGGGAGCAAACAGGAUUAGAUACCCGGGUAGUC